CGGGACGUGGCGCAGCCUGGUAGCGCACUUGAAUGGGGUUCAAGGGGUCCCGGGUUCAAAUCCCGGCGUCCCGA
rnacentral:tRNA from 1 species